AAAAAUAUUAAAAAGUCAGACCAAUUUGUCAUCAAUCAGUCAGAUAAAAAUUAUGAAUUUUUGAGUCUACAAUAUCCAUCGGAUACUUAUAGAGACUGCUCUUUAAUCCUUCGAAUAUCUCCUUGCCGCCGUUCGUCUAUGCUGCCGCCGUUCAACACAAAACAAAAGUUUUCAAAACAAGAUAGAAAGGUUGAAGAUGUCUCAUAGAAGAUCAGGGAAAAGUGGGAGCACUGAUUCAGAGUUUGAAGAGCUAAAGUAUAAAUACCACGGAGAUUUAAGAGAUGAUGAUCUAAUGGUUUUCCUUGGAUGGGGAUAGUAGCCAACAUUCCUGUUGAAUAUCAGGGAGGGAACUGUGUAGGUAAAGGUGGAACAUAUCUAAAAAAAUUGUGGAUUGAGAAAGGGUUAAUCCAAUGAAGGUUCAUCGGUUAUGGAACUACAAGGGUCACAUCGGAUAUGCCAUAGUUGAAUUUAAAGGGGAUUGGUCGGGAUUCGCGAAUGCUAUAGAAUUCGAAAAAGCAUUUGAAUUGGAUAAUCAUGGGAAGAGAGAUUGGAAUUCAGGAAGAGGACGAGAUAGGAAAAUGUAUGCUUGGAUUGCACGUGAUGAAGAUUACAACGCUGGGUCAUUAAUUGGUACUCAUCUCCGUAAAUAUGGAGAUCUUAAGCCAGUUUAUGAAAUACAAGAAGAGAGCAAUAGGAAACAUUCAGUGCUAUUACACACCUUGACCAACGAGCUAGAUAUGAAGAAGAAUAUAAGCAGAGUAGAGCAGAAGGAAUAUCAAAAGGAGGAGAUGGUCCAAAACUACAAUGACGAAGAGAAGGGCAAUUUAGGAGCAGAAAAAUGCUUAUGAGAAAAUGUUGCAAAUGGCUGAUGAUCAUAAGAGAGUAAAGGAAUCACAUUAUAAAAGAAUAAUUGAAUUGGCAGCGAACCUUGAUCAGAAGCAAUCACUACAGUUGCAGAUUGAGCGCUUGAGAGGUUCAAUGGAAGUGAUGCGACUCGUGAAUCAGGAAGGAGACCUCGAAGCUAAGAAGAAUUGCAGUCAAUUCAAAGAGAAAUCAAGAAGAGUGAAGAACUUGAUAGGUUGGAAACACUGAAUCAAACUCUAAUUAUAAAGGAAAGAAGUGCAAAUGAUGAGGUGGAGGAAGCCCGUAAAGAAGCAAUCCAUGUUUAAGGGAGAGAGGUGCUUUUAUCUGUAUCGAGAGAAUGGGGUUGAAAGAAGGAGUUGCACACAUAAUGAAGUUGUGGAAUGCGCGUGAGAAGUUUGAGAGUUGAUUGUCAUCAACAUGAUUAAUCCUAGUACGCAAGCUGAACUAUUACUAGGAGUUCUGAUUCUGCAAAAACUUCAUUAGUUUUACCUUCAUUUUGCUCUAAAUUUCAAACCAGACAGUUUGUUCUUUAUAUGGUGCUUUCUUUUGUCAUUAGAUAUAUUGCAAUAGAGUUUGUUCUUCAUCUGCUG